CAGGGGGGGCGAAGCGUUGUUCGGAAUUACUGGGCGUAAAGGGCCAGUAGGCGGCCAACUAAGUCACACGUGAAAUCCCCAGGCUUAACCUGGGAACUGCGUGUGAUACUGGAUGGCUUGAAUUCGGGAGAGGGAUGCAGAAUUCCAGGUGUAGCGGUGAAAUGCGUAGAUAUCUGGAGGAAUACCGGUGGCGAAGGCGGCAUCCUGGACCGACAUUGACGCUGAACGGCGAAAGCUAGGGGAGCAAACGGGAUUAGAUACCCCGGUAGUCCUAGCCCUAAACGAUGAAUGCUUGGUGUGGCGGGUAUCGAUCCCUGCCGUGCCGAAGCUAACGCAUUAAGCAUUCCGCCUGGGGAGUACGGUCGCAAGGCUG
rnacentral:rRNA from 1 species